UACAGAGGGUGCGAGCGUUAAUCGGAAUUACUGGGCGUAAAGCGUGCGUAGACGGUUAUUUAAGUCGGGUGUGAAAGCCCCGGGCUCAACCUGGGAAUUGCAUUCGAUACUGGAUAGCUAGAGUUCGGCAGAGGGAAGCGGAAUUUCCGGUGUAGCGGUGAAAUGCGUAGAUAUCGUAAGGAAGACCAGUGGCGAAGGCGGGUCUCUGGACAGUUCCUGACGCUGAGGCACGAAGGCCAGGGGAGCAAACGGG
rnacentral:rRNA from 1 species